AUAUCAAUAAGCGGAGGAAAAGAAACUAACAAGGAUUCCCCUAGUAACGGCGAGUGAAGCGGGAUGAGCUCAAAUUUGAAAUCUGGCUGGUUUACUAGUCCGAGUUGUAAUUUAAAGAAGCGUUUUCGGUGGCAGCCUGGGUAUAAAUCCUUUGGAAUAGGGUAUCAUAGAGGGUGAGAAUCCCGUCUUUGACCUAGUGCAUGCUACUAUGUGAUACGUUUUCAAAGAGUCGAGUUGUUUGGGAAUGCAGCUCAAAAUGGGUGGUAAAUUUCAUCUAAAGCUAAAUAUUGGCGAGAGACCGAUAGCGAACAAGUACCGUGAGGGAAAGAUGAAAAGAACUUUGAAAAGAGAGUUAAACAGUGCGUGAAAUUGUUGAAAGGGAAACGUUUGACACCAGUCAUGUGGGUGGAAAAUCAGUCUUUUGCAUUGGGGAGUUGUAAAGGUUCGGACCGCAAGGCCGGCUUUUGCUUCAUCUUUGGUGUAAGGGAUGCACUUUUUCAUCUACAGGUCAACAUCAGUUUCUUUUGCUGGACAAAACUCCGAGAGAAGGUAGCAGCUUAGGCUGUGUUAUAGCUCUGGAGCGAUACAGUGAAGGGGACUGAGGUUUUCGCAGCGUGUGCUCUCGGGCAAGGCUGGAUGGGUGCUAUGGGAUCGUUCGGGGUACAAUGCCUGGCAUUUUGCUUCGUGUCUUUUCUAUACUCGCUCAACUCAGCUCUUCCACGCUUAGGAUGUUGACUUAAUGGUUUUAAACGA
rnacentral:rRNA from 1 species